CAGUCGCCGCGGGAAUACGUAGGUGGCAAGCGUUGUCCGGAAUUAUUGGGCGUAAAGCGCGCGCAGGUGGUUCCUUAAGUCUGAUGUGAAAGCCCACGGCUCAACCGUGGAGGGUCAUUGGAAACUGGGAGACUUGAGUGCAGAAGAGGAUAGUGGAAUUCCAAGUGUAGCGGUGAAAUGCGUAGAGAUUUGGAGGAACACCAGUGGCGAAGGCGACUAUCUGGUCUGUAACUGACACUGAGGCGCGAAAGCGUGGGGAGCAAACAGGAUUAGAUACCCCAGUAGUCCCUGUCUCUUAUAC
rnacentral:rRNA from 1 species